ensembl:lncRNA
AAAAAAACCACAGAAACAAAUAACUGCUGCCUUCUCCUUCAGCAUCUUCAUUAGCGCCCCUUUUCUUUCGGCAGGUUCCCACUACGCUAAUAUAAAUGCGCCCGAUUAAACACCGACAACAAAGCCCCGCACCUGUAAUCCCCAAUUGCAACUGGGCACAGGCUGCGAUUUACCUCCCCGUGGCAUCCCGAACCUCUCUCGGUGGAUCAGAACAGAAGGACUGGUGCUGUGCAGAUCAAAGAGCAGCGGGGAGACGCUGUCCCUGCCACAGCCCGGGCUCCGUGGAAGGCAGCCCGAUGCCAUGCAGCCGGCUGCUUUCACGGGGACCAGCCCUCCCUCACGAAGUUUGAGCGUUUUCUUUCAAUAAAGCGGGAUGCGUGCGGGGCAGAGCUUGAGGAGCUCAGGGGAAGAUGAUUUAAAGGAAGACGAGCAAGCAAAGGAGCGGGAGGGGAGGUAAAAAAAAAAAAAAACAAAACCAAAAAACAAAACAAUCUAAAGUGUUUUCAAGAAAUAACAAGAAGUCACCCGAGGCGAGCUGGGCGCUUCGAAAAGCCGUUUUCCCUUUCCCUAUGGGUAACAGAGGAAUUAGAGCAAUCCCUUCCAUCGCGCUCGGCGCUGUUCGGCCACCAGCAGCCCCGCGCACCCCGAUGCGGCGGCUCUCACCCUGCUUCCCGCACCCGCCGCUGUUGGAGAAGUUCGGCAGCCCAGCACCGUAACCACCCCCCCACCCCCAAAUCCCCGGAUCGCGGCGGAACCCCCGCAUCUCGUUACCUGCGGCGGGGCGCUGCCCGUGGGGACAUCACCUGCGGCGGGGCCGCUCCCCCCAGCCGCGCCGAGCGAGCCCAGGCAGCAGCCGAGGGGGGGAGGGGGAGGAGGAGGAGAAGGAAGGGGUGGGAAGGAGCCCGAGCGGCGCGGAGGAGGCUGGCGCAGCGCCUCUCGCUCAGGCAGAGCAGGAGGUGCCAUCUGCAGGCACAGCACCGAGCAGCACCCUGUGCCAGCGCCUCAUCGCCCCGGCUGCGGAACGCUUCCCUUCCAUCCCGGCUGAGAGCAGGACUCAGCUCCUAGAGAUGGAGGUCCAAUGGGCCCGACCACACGUCGCCAUCGGAGCGAUGAACAAGGAGAGAAACUUUCCGAGCACACGUUGCUCUCGCCGCGCAGCCCAGCAGAGCACAAGCCGCUCUAAUCACAAGCUACAGUCCUUCACCAUCUGGUUAGAGCCUAAUUACAAAUGCAGGAAAAUAAUGUGCUUUACAAUUGCACCAGUAAAUGCUGUAAAUGAUUUAAAUGCAUGCAUAUGUUCCCUGCAGAAUUCAGCAUGCAUCUGCGGCUUCUUCUCCUCGCGCUAGGCACACAAAUCAAGGAAAAAAUACCCAACUCUGAUGAACAGAAUGUCCCUAGGAUGGUGAUUUUUAUCCCUUCUUCUUCCCCCCUGCUGGAAUAGCAAACGGGGCCUUUUUGUAACAAUUCAUUCAGCAGCGUUUUCUUCGCUCCCAUUUUAAAAACUGUUUAUCGCCACCGUGUAAAUAUAGUACAAAUUACCCCAUAAAGCACUCAGAAGGAGCACGGCAGCCGGGUAAGCCUGCAGCUGGCUGGUGCUGUUUCAAAGCAGAGCCUUUCUGCGGGGCGGAGUGGGGGAAGAGCUGGCUGCGAGGUCCCAGCUCCGCUUGGCUCAGCUGCCGGGAACAGGGCCCCCAAGCUGGGGUUUGGGGUUUCCAGCCGUGCUCUGGCUCAGGCUGCAAAGUCAUGGAGGUUUGCCAAGCCAAAGCGAGCUUCAACUCAGCCAGCAUCUGCAGAGGGGAAAAUGGCUAAGGGAUGGGAUGGGAUGGGAUAGGAUGGAAUAGAUCUUUCUCUUGAAGGGCUGUUGGGGACAG